CAUAGGGCAGAGUGAUUCACACCCCAGUGGUCCUCAAUUAGUGCGUAUUGCAGUUCCCAUUUUUGACCGCUGUGAGCAAUCAGAACUUUAUGGGGUUAAGUGGGACAGUUAGUGUGCUGCCCCAUGAUUGCGCAACAUCUAGAAAAGCAAGCAAAUCGAUAGAACAUUGACCGACACUACUGCUCAAAAGUUUAGAUGCACUCAAUCUAACGCUAGGAUUAUAAUAAAAUCAUCAAAACUCUGGAGUAACACAAAUGGAACUAUGGGAAUUAUGUUGUGAUAAAAAAUAAAAAAUAAAAAAAUCCAAAAUAAAUCAGAAUAAUUUAAUAUUUUAGCAUCUUCAAAGUAGACGCCCUUUUCGCCUAGAAUUUCCAGAAAUGUAUUCUGAGCGUUUUCUCACCCGGUUUCUUGAGGAAUUUCCCUGAGAUGCUUUUUAAACAGUAUUAAAGGAGUUCACACCUGAUAUGUAUUAGCACCCCGUCCAGGGUGUACCCCGCCUUCUGCCCCAUGAUCCCUGGGAUAGGCUCCAGGUUCCUGUGACCCUAUAGGAUAAUCCAGGGGUUCCCAAACUUUUCCAGGGCAAGAGCCCCCAAAUGGCAUUAACAUUUGACCGAGGCCCCCCUUUUGCAAAAUGUCUUUAAAACACAUUAAAAAUACAGAAUAUAUCCCCCUUUCAUCUUUACAUUACAUUAGGAAUUGAUUGUGUGUGUGUGUGUGUGUAUAGUCUGAGUGUACAUGUAGCGUAUGAGCGUAUGUCUGAGAGUGAGAUUCAUGUAUUUAUUUAUUUUCACACCAAAUUGUUGAGGCACCCCGGGCGCCCCCUGGCGGCCCAGGCUACGGCCCACACUUUGAAAACCACGGGGAUAAUCGGUAUAGAUAAUGGAUGGAUGGAUGGAUGGAAAGAGUGAUACUGUAUGCAUCAACCCUGCAGUAACGUCUACAGCCCACACUUCGGCGCGAGCCUUCAGCUCCCUUGACUCUGACGUGUUUCCUGUUCGCCAGUGUUGACUUCCGGGAAGAUGGCGGAGACCGGGGAGGCGCGCAUGACAAUUUCUUUCACAUUAAAGUGUAAAGAACGCACUGACUGUCCAGCUGUCCGUCUUAAGGGCAACCGGUAUGGAGGAGUCUCAGUGUGUGUUCUAUGAGGUUCGUGCGAGCAGACAGAGGUGAAAACUCAUCGGACAUCCUGGUAACCUAUGCUCUCUGGGACAGUUAGAGGUGGUCACAGCUCCUUUUUAUUUCCUGGUGUUCGCAUCUCUGUCAUAGCAACUACAAGCCCUUUCAGUAGCGCAGCAAAGGGAAAAGAUCCCUCUCGCCCAUGCGUGUGUGUGGGUCUAUGAUUUCUUCCAACGACUCUCUACCCCUGUGAAUCACGUGUCUGGGAGUUAGACACACAAGCUACGCUCGCUAAUCCCGAGUGCUGCCCACACUGUUCUCUGUUCACUUUAAGGGUAUUAGAGCACAGAGUGAGAGUUACAGCUGUGACUCAAUUCAAACAUGACAGAGUAAUAGCACUAUGAGAAUGUUAACAACUGCCAAAUCAGUCUAUUUAUUUAACCCAAGGUGAAGGCCUUACAUGUCUUUUACCUCAAGUUUUGUUUUUUGCUCCUGUCACAGUACAAGAGGUAAUUUACCCUCAAACCACCUUUCAGCAAAAGGCAGCUAGCUGCACUUAAAAAGUUAAAGUGCACCUGCUGUCCUCCGAGUACGUGAUAGCUGAGCUGACAAAAAGAGCUCUUGAGCUCAACAUGCUGCUUAAAAGUGUUGUCGAAUAAAAUGAGGGAUCAUUUAAAGCCAAUGGUCAGUUUAUCUUCAUGACGCUCAUGUGAAUUAAGCCAUAAUCCACACUCCGUCCUCUCCGCUCCGUCCUCUACAUCCCCUCAAUUCAUAAGUCUCCGACAGUUGUGUUUUUGUGGUGCACACAGUAUACACUUUUUUUUUCCCUUCUUCAAUUUCUACCCAAAGAUAAACUCAGACAUUAGCCAGUAGCCUAGAUCAGCCUCUCAGCUUGGAGGAGAUUAGCAUCUUGUAUCUUAACCAUGAAUAAUAAUAAAACUCCUGAUCCGGAUGUCUUCCCUAUAGAAUUUAAAACGUUCUCCACUCAUCUAUCCCGCUUAAACGACCCUAAAUUUUGUGGCAGUUACAGACCUAAUUAAUAACCAUGUCAAAUUAUUAGCUAAAGUAUUGGCUAAACGCUUAGAGCUUCGUCUUUCAGCCCUUAUAUCAGAUGAUCGAACUGGCUUUACACUGGGUCAUCAGUUGUCAUCCAAUAUACGCAGACUUUUAAAUAUGAUCUUCACUCCAUCUAGCUCUCCAAUGCCAGAAAUGGUUCUCUCACUAGACAGAAGGCUUUUGAUCGGGUGGAACGGGAUUAUUUAUUUACAGUUUUACAAAAAUUUGGUUUCGGCCCCAAACGAAUUUCACGGAUACGUCUGCUAUAAUUCCCCCUCAGCUUGAAAACGAAUUCGGAACCAUCGCCCCAUUUCUCUUGUCUCGUGGCACCAGUCAGGGCUGCCCACUCUCACCCCUUCUCUUUGCUUUGGCUAUAGAGCCUCUCUCUAUAGCCUUGAUAUCGACUUCAGUAUGUUCAGGUAUUCAUAGCGUCGGAAGGGAACACCGGGUUCGACACCACAGACACCAGUCAAGCCAUUUAGCAAAGUGAUGGUCAUCAAACACAGAAAGGGUCAUAUUUGAAGAAUUUAUUUUCUGGACAUUUGGAACCAAAAGUUUAAUAGCAAGAUAAUGAAUCUUCUGAAAAAAAGUAAUUUUUGAAUUAAACAAAAAAAAAAAAUAUUUUUUUU